rnacentral:rRNA from 1 species
CCUACGGGAGGCUGCGGUGGGGAAUAUUGGACAAUGGGGGCAACCCUGAUCCAGCCAUGCCGCGUGUGUGAAGAAGGCCCUCGGGUUGUAAAGCACUUUCAGUGAGGAAGAACGCCUGGUGGUUAAUACCCAUCAGGAAAGACAUCACUCACAGAAGAAGCACCGGCUAACUCCGUGCCAGCAGCCGCGGUAAUACGGAGGGUGCGAGCGUUAAUCGGAAUUACUGGGCGUAAAGCGCGCGUAGGUGGCUUGAUAAGCCGGUUGUGAAAGCCCCGGGCUCAACCUGGGAACGGCAUCCGGAACUGUCAAGCUAGAGUGCAGGAGAGGAAGGUAGAAUUCCCGGUGUAGCGGUGAAAUGCGUAGAGAUCGGGAGGAAUACCAGUGGCGAAGGCGGCCUUCUGGACUGACACUGACACUGAGGUGCGAAAGCGUGGGUAGCAAACAGGAUUAGAUACCCCAGUAGUC